UUUAUCGGAGAGUUUGAUCCUGGCUCAGGACGAACGCUGGCGGCGUGCCUAAUACAUGCAAGUCGAGCGAACAGAUGGGAGCUUGCUCCCUGAUGUUAGCGGCGGACGGGUGAGUAACACGUGGGUA
rnacentral:rRNA from 1 species